UACGAAGGGGGCUAGCGUUGUUCGGAAUUACUGGGCGUAAAGCGCACGUAGGCGGAUUUGUAAGUCAGGGGUGAAAUCCCGGGGCUCAACCUCGGAACUGCCUUUGAUACUGCAAGUCUCGAGUCCGAUAGAGGUGAGUGGAAUUCCUAGUGUAGAGGUGAAAUUCGUAGAUAUUAGGAAGAACACCAGUGGCGAAGGCGGCUCUCUGGGACGGUACUGACGCUGAGACGCGAAAGCGUGGGGAGCGAACAGG
rnacentral:rRNA from 1 species